AACGAACGCUGGCGGCAGGCCUAACACAUGCAAGUCGAGCGCCCCGCAAGGGGAGCGGCGGACGGGUGAGUAACGCGUGGGAAUAUGCCCUUUGCUACGGAAUAGUCUCGGGAAACUGGGGGUAAUACCGUAUACGCCCUUUGGGGGAAAGAUUUAUCGGCGAAGGAUUAGCCCGCGUUGGAUUAGGUAGUUGGUGGGGUAAUGGCCUACCAAGCCGACGAUCCAUAGCUGGCUUGAGAGGAUGAUCAGCCACACUGGGACUGAGACACGGCCCAGACUCCUACGGGAGGCAGCAGUGGGGAAUCUUAGACAAUGGGGGCAACCCUGAUCUAGCCAUGCCGCGUGAGUGAUGAAGGCCUUAGGGUUGUAAAGCUCUUUCAGCUGGGAAGAUAAUGACGGUACCAGCAGAAGAAGCCCCGGCUAACUCCGUG
rnacentral:rRNA from 1 species